GUAUUACCAUGAGUUCCUUGCAAAAACUUCACGAGGUCCAAUUCUAAGUGCUCCCGUGAAGUGUUUGGGGGAAACUCUUGGUGUCAC
rnacentral:pre_miRNA from 1 species